CAGUAGCCACGGUAAUACGUAGGCAGCGAGCGUUGUUCGGAAUUACUGGGCGUAAAGAGUGUGUAGGCGGUGCUCUAAGUUCGGUGUGAAAUCUCCUGGCUUAACUGGGAGGGUGCGCCGGAAACUGGAGUGCUCGAGCGUGGGAGAGGAAAGCGGAAUUCCUGGUGUAGCGGUGAAAUGCGUAGAUAUCAGGAGGAACACCUGUGGUGUAGACGGCUUUCUGGACCAUUGCUGACGCUGAGACACGAAAGCGUGGGUAGCAAACAGGAUUAGAUACCCCCGUAGUCCCUGUCUCUUAUAC
rnacentral:rRNA from 1 species